ACGGCGGAGCUUUGGGGCCUGGGAGGCCCGCUAAUUCUUCUCCAUUCAUUUCUCUUCUCCUCUUCUUCAGAUUCUUCUGUGCGAGAAGUUGAGUACUGAGAAAGAUCACGACCUGUUUUUGGUCUGAAACUGAAAUGAGUCGGAUCAUAUCGAACUCGGCCAGAACCCAAUACUUUAUAUUACAAAUGUUGGGCCAGAACCGACCCAGUUCUGGCCCAAUUUGCAGAAAAAAGCUUAUCUUUUGAGACUUUGAUUAGAAUGCAGAGAAUUGGAGAGCUGAAAAUGGCGAAGAAAUUGUUGAACGUUGCUAUUAUUUUCUGGGCAUAGGUGGAGCUGAAAGACUAAUUGUUGAUGCGGCUGGGCAUAAGUUCACGUUUCACUGCACACCAUGACAAAAAUCGAUGCUCUGAGGAGACCGUUUCUGGUGUGUGUGCUUUCUCUGUUCCAAUUUUAUGUUUGAUAUUAUGGAUUCGUGGCAUCUGUGUAAAAUAGUAGUGGGGUUUACUUGAGGUUGGAUUGUGUAUGGUACAAAACAUCGAACAAGAGUAGCUCUGUUAUUUCUUUUUCAUAUGUGAGUUUGUUUGAAAGUUGAGUGCCCCCACCACCAAAUAACAUGGGAGGUCCACCGCCUAAUGCAAGAUGAGGGGUUCCUGGGCAAUACCAAGAUAACUACACACCAGGCAGGGAUGAUGGAGGCAUCCCCGGUACAAACCGUUACUGUGCUUGAGGCUACGUCACCAUGAGUCUUGUAGGCAUGCUGUAGAUAAGCAAGGAGGCUGCUCGAGAUGGGCUGUAGGUUUUUUAUGUCACCGGUCUGGAAUGAUAUUUUGUUUGGCUUAUUGCUGGGUACGAACCUGGUUGCCUUUUUAUCUGAAUAUGAUUACACUUUCAGGGUCGAAUCUGAUUGGAUUAAUCGUAUCUUUGCUUUGCUACUUGGUACUAGUCAUGUCAUGUCAUGUAGUGCACAUAUUUGCAGAAAGCAGAAGACUGUUUAAUGAAACCACUAUGAUAGGGCAAUGCUCUCUUAUUUUUC